rnacentral:sRNA from 1 species
GCUGGGUGCAGUGGUGUGUGCCUGUGAUUCCAGUAACUGGGGAGGCUGAGGCAGGAGGAUCACAAGUUCAAAGCCAGUCUCAGCAACCUAGUAAGACACUCAGCAAUUCAGUGAGACCCUGUCUCUA